rnacentral:misc_RNA from 1 species
GAAAUGCGAUAAGUAAUGUGAAUUGCAGAAUUCAGUGAAUCAUCGAAUCUUUGAACGCACAUUGCGCCCGCCAGUAUUCUGGCGGGCAUGCCUGUUCGAGCGUCAUUACAACCCUCAGGCCCCCGGGCCUGGCGUUGGGGAUCGGCGGAAGCCCCCUGCGGGCACAACGCCGUCCCCCAAAUACAGUGGCGGUCCCGCCGCAGCUUCCAUUGCGUAGUAGCUAACACCUCGCGACUGGAGAGCGGCGCGGCCACGCCGUAAAACACCCAACUUCUGAAUGUUGACCUCGAAUCAGGUAGGAAUACCCGCUGAACUUAAGC